rnacentral:ncRNA from 1 species
UGUAGGAGACCCUGGUCUGCUGUGCACGGCAACAGGAGGGGUGGAACAAACCCCCUAUCACA